rnacentral:lncRNA from 1 species
GGAAUCCAAGAGUUACAGAGCGGGAAGUGUGUGUGGCCCGUCCUGGCCCAGGGACUCAGCCUCACCUACCAUGUCAUUCUCGAACCACAGGAAGUAGGAGCAGUAGAAAUCCCCCUCCUGGAACAGCAGCGUGGUGUAGCCCUUCUGCAGGUAUCUGCGCGCCAGCUGGAUCAGAGACCAGACCUUAGUUUUGACAAAGGCAGCCAGCGGCCCCUUGCCCAACUCCGACGAGGUCUUUUGACUGCAGUUGAGGGAAGGCGCCACCAUCUGCCCAGUGGUGCGGUCCACAUAGAUGAAGUGCACCAAGCCUGGGAAGUCUUCUAGGUAGGACACCAUGGUGAUGUUCCUCCUGCUCUUCACCAGCAAGAAGUCCUUCCAGUCCGUCAGCUUCUCCCGCAUGAGCCUCUGCACUUGGUCCUGCAGGUGCUGGGGCAGGUGUGGGCCUCCC